CCGAGGGAGGAAGUCCAGUCCCUGCCGCCAGGGUCCCGCUCGGCGCCCCGCGGCGCUCCCCGCCCCUCCUCCGCCCCUCCUGGGGGCCGCUCGGACGGCGCAGUCGUCUCCCCGCCCCCGGGAAAGAGGCGUCGCGUUCUCUCUCACAGCUGCGGGUCGCCCCACCUGGGGCACUUGUCUUUGGGGGAUGGAAUGCUCGCUAGAAAACCUAGGGAUCCAACGGAGCUGCUGAAGAGGCAGCGAUGUCGUAGGCCCCUGAGACGAGGAUGAGACCAUCGCAGUCCUGGGCGCCCCUCGUGGGCACAGAUGUCGGUGUUAGGGCCCCCGCGGGUCGCCUCCGCAGGAGUGACCCGUCACGUUUGUUGUGAACGAAUGAAAAGCUGGGAAGUAUGGAGUAGGUCCUAGUAAAGAAAAGCUAUAGGGAAUGUGGAGGUAGGCUUUAAUGAGUGUUUCCUCAAAGCUCUGGUAGAAAUAGACGCCUGGUGGCUGGCGUUGAACAGGCUGGGGGCCUCCAAGGAGCCCUCAGGGAGGCAGUUACAUCCAACACCCUAACAAAGGAGAGGAAAAGAAAAACCCCCUCAAAAUGUCCCUCGGGUUUGACAAAGGGAUCCCGGACAAAAUGUGACUGUUAAUUACGACAGAACUGAAAAGCAGAAGUAAAGUAAAUCCCCCCAGGACGCCUGGGAACUGGGUGAACCCUCUUCCCUGGAAGCCAAGGAACCAACUGUUUGCAGAGGAUCAGAAGGGAUCAGCUCAGAAGCCCGGACCUGGCCUGGCACAUAGAAGCCACCGAAGGGGUCCUGUGCCAAGGACAAACAGGAACGCCCACCCAGUGGGCGGGCCGUCCGUGGUCCAGAACUGGCAGGCCACUGACAAAUAUCCUCUGAGUAAAACUAAGGAAGGACGUCAGCUAUCAUCAGGGGGACUUGUGUGCCCCAGAGCCUACAGGGUGCUCAGGGACUGCAAGAAGAUCUUCCUUCCAGAAACAUUCAGUGGCACCUCCCUUUCUCCGACACUCUGCCGCGCCAUGGAAUUGCAGAGAAGAAUGGGAGGGGAGCCUUGCCCUGAAGAACUCACAGAUCUGGAGGCUGGAAGUCCAAGAUCAAGGUGCCAGCGGGAUGGUUUCUGACGUGUAUGAACAAGCUCAAACCAGCCUCUCCAGAGUGAACAAAAGGAAAGGAAAGGGGAACAAAGAAGUGAGAAGAACAACUGUUUCUGUUUGCUUAACAGCCGGUAAGGGAGGCCUUUGUUCCCUAGCGUUGUGCACAUGAACUGCACCGUCUAUGACAUCAUAUUCCAAGCUUCUUCCUUGAAAAAAAGUCAUGGAAUAAAAUUGCCUAAACAGAAACUUUUGAGAAACAUGCUUGCAGAAGUCAAGGACUUUCUGGGAUUUGCAUUAAUGCUGUAUUGUCCUGCUGAUUUUUUCUUUUCUUUUCUUUUCUUUUUUGAGGAAGAUUAGCCCUGAGCUAAC